AAGAUUGAAUCAAACAUCUGGUGCUCAUAGAUAAGCCCGCUCUACCCUAUUCUGGAUUAACGGUUUUCCUCUUUCACCUACAAUCCAUUCAACCAUGUAUGACACACUGAGUGUCCACUCUGUGCAAAACCUCCAGAAAUACAAAGAUGGGUCACUGGAACAUGCGCGGACAUGAACGAAUUAGCUGCCAAAUGAGAGAAAAGGCAAACUGGAGAAAUCAGCAGCCCAAUGUACAAACUGAAACACUGGUUGCUCAACGUGAGACUUCCAGGAGAUAGUUUAACUGGAUUUCUGAUGAUCUCUAUAAAACAUAAUUCCUCAGGACACUUUGAAAAGCACAAUAAGUGAAAUGAGCAGGACCCGCUUCAGGAAAAACUUUCGCCACCAUGUUGUAGGAGUUGGAUGCAGAGACAGAAGAAAGUGCGGCCACCACAAAGGAUCCAAUGGCCAUGAGGGGACCGCGAUGGGGCCUACAGAAGCAACAGACAGCCUCUUCACUGGCUUUUCAAUAGUGAUUCUAAGAACAGAGACAAAAAAGCAGAAGAUUCAUCCACCGCAAACAGGCACCGAACACAUGCCCCCCAAACAGGGAAGUAACUCACUGUGAAGUGUUUCUGGAUUUUCUAGAAAACGGGCUGAGAGGUGCCACCUGGAAGUCUUCCUAGUAUUGUUAGUAGUUGUUUCAAGAAUUCUGAUUCUUUUCUUUAAAUUCCAAAUAAUUCAACAUAAGCAAUUAGUUGUUUGUUUAGGGGUGGGGAUCUAGUCAACGGCUUGGUAUGUGGGGCCUGUAACAGCCAGGAAAGACAUGGACUCUGAGUAAGGGUUAGAAAGGGAUUUCUACAUAUGUUGGACAGGCACCUCCUUCUGCUCUGUCUGGUUCUCACAGUGACUGAAACCACUGCACGUUCAGAGAGUGGACUGGGAUCUGACAUAAGAAGGGCUGUCUUUUCAUUCUGCUUAAACUGUCAGGGCACUUUUAACUUUGUACAGUUAGCCUUCCAUAUCUACAGGUUCUGAUUCCUCAGAAUCAAUAAACUCUGGAAAAUA